rnacentral:rRNA from 1 species
CCUACGGGUGGCAGCAGUGGGGAAUAUUGCGCAAUGGGGGAAACCCUGACGCAGCAACGCCGCGUGAGUGAGGAAGUAUCUCGGUAUGUAAAGCUCUAUCAGCGGGGAAGAAGGGAGACGGUACUCGACUAAGAAGCACCGACGAACUACGCACCGGCAGCAGCGGUAAUACGUAGGGGGCGAGCGUUAUCCGGAUUUACUGGGCGUAAAGGGAGCGUAGACGGCGUGGCAAGUCUGAAGGGAAAGCCCGUGGCUCAACCUGGGAACCGCUUUGGAAACUGCGAGGCUGGAGUGUGUGAGAGGUUAGUGGAAUUCCAGGUGUAGCGGUGAAAUGCGUAGAUAUCAGGAGGAACAUCAGUGGCGAAGGCGACUUACUGGCCCGUGACUGACGUUGAGGCUCGAAAGCGUGGGUAGCGAACAGGAUUAGAUACCCGUGUAGUC